rnacentral:rRNA from 1 species
AUGAGCAGCAGCUUGGCGUCCGCCAUUUCUGCAGCAGCCACUGCUGCUUGUCCCCGCCAUGGCGCGGCGAAGCAGCAGCUGAGCACAAGGGUGAAGCCACACCUGAAGCAUGCUGCAGGCUGCUGGGAGAGCAGUGGCAGCGGCAGGGCGGUGGUGGCGAGGGCCGGGCCCGGGCCGCUGACGGAGAUCGAGCCGGACCUGCAGGAGGACCCCAUCGACAAGUGGCGCACCAACGGCGUCCUCCCGGAAGACUUUGUGUAUGGAGUGUAUGACGGCCACCACACCUAUGAUGAAGGCCAAGAAAAGAAGGGCUUCUGGGAGGAUGUCUCUGAGUGGUACCAAGAAGCUGAGCCUCCUCAGGGCUUCCAAGCACUCAUCUCCUGGGCAUUCCCUCCCGCAGUCAUCCUCGGAAUGGCUUUCGAUGUGCCGGGGGAGUACCUUUACAUUGGGGCAGCUAUCUUCAUCGUCAUGUUCUGCGUCAUCGAGAUGGACAAGCCGGACAAACCGCACAACUUUGAGCCGGAGAUCUACAUGAUGGAGAGGUCCAAGCGCGACAAGCUCAUCGCAGACUACAACUCCAUGGACAUCUGGGACUUCAACGAGAAGUACGGCGAGCUCUGGGACUUCACCGUCAACAGAGAUGACCUCAUCCAACCAUAG